AAGGACUCCAACCACUGUCCAGCAAAGGCUCAGAUUGUGGAGGAUCUACACUGUGCUUCUGACUGACAAACUACAAGCCUCUGCUUAUCAGUAAAUACAGGAUAUUCAAGCUGGAUGUCCAAAGUAAUAAGGCUGUGAACUCCAGUGAACAUUUGGGUGUUUUGCAACCAAGUGUGAAACGAAGCGGGAUGUGGAUCAGGAUCUCCAAAUCUGAGGCCAUGGUCCUAAGUAGGAAAAAAUGUGGACUGUCUUCUUCAAGUGAAGGGUUAGGCCACCAUAUUGACUCACCAUAAUUUGGACCUUCCAGAUAAGGUGGAUUAAUCCUACAAUCAGUUGAAACGCAGACAGGUGAUCUCCACUGAAAUAAUUAUGAAACCUCUAAAAUCAAUUGGCUGUGCCAGUGAUGACCUAGGGAUGACAUAUUAAAGGUGAUUAGAGUGGAUUUUACAUUUCA